UCUUAUCAAUUUUGCUGUUAAGUUGGACGCCUGGUCAGUUAACAUUUCUCUUGGGAUCCCCACUCUGGCAAACAGCUGUAUUAAAGCCCUCACGAUGUUACUUGCAUUUGUCUUUUUCAGGGGAAAGGCUUCUGGGAACCGGGUUGCGUAGUCAAACACCACCAGAAUAUAUUUAUGUCCAGUGCAGCUAUGUUCGACAGGACACACAAUGUCAACCGCUAUCCUGGAAAAAGGCUCUUCCAAUACAGGCAAAGACUGCAAACCCUUUGUGGCCUUGUCAAAGCAGACACGCAGACUGGGGUCGUCCCGCUGAGCGGAAGCCACAUCACUCAGCUUUACAGACUGUGCCUCUCUUGUCAGCUUCCCCAAACGGCAGCACAUCCCAGCCAUCCUGGGCAUUUUGUUUUUGCCUUGCCGCUUGGACCCCUGUGA